GUAGGUGAACCUGCGGAGGGAUCAUUACUGAGUGAGGGCCUCCGGGUCCGACCUCCAACCCCAUGUUAUCCGACUCUGUUGCCUCGGGGGCGACCCGGCCUUCGGGUGUCGGGGCCCCCGGUGGACCACUCAACUCUGCAUCUUUGCGUCCGAGUCAAAUGAUAAAUCAAUCAAAACUUUCAACAACGGAUCUCUUGGUUCUG
rnacentral:misc_RNA from 1 species